GACGAACGCUGGCGGCGUGCUUAACACAUGCAAGUGGAGCGACGAACCAGGGCUUGCCCUGGGGCAGAGCCGCGAACGGGUGAGUAACACGUGGGUUACCUGCCUCGAUGACCGGGACAACCCGAGGAAACUCGGGCUAAUACCGGAUGUGCCCGCAAGGGGAAAGGAAGCUUCGGCCUCCGCAUCGAGAUGGGCCCGCGGCCCAUUAGCUUGUUGGUGAGGUAACGGCUCACCAAGGCUUCGAUGGGUAGCUGGUCUGAGAGGACGAUCAGCAACACUGGGACUGAGACACGGCCCAGACUCCUACGGGAGGCAGCAGUGGGGAAUCUUGCGCAAUGCGCGAAAGCGUGACGCAGCAACGCCGCGUGGGGGAAGAAGGCUUUCGGGUUGUAAACCCCUUUCAGUUGGGACGAAGCUCUGUCGGUUAAUAGCCGGUCGGAGUGACGGUACCUUCACAAGAAGCACCGGCUAACUACGUGCCAGCCGCCGCGGUAA
rnacentral:rRNA from 1 species